CCCCCACUCGGCGGGUCCGGACGGAUCUCCGAAGGGUCGGGAGGCGGCUCCCCCCCCCGGAGCCCGGGAAGAUGGUGCAUCCCGCUCGGCCUCGAUCACGUGGGCGCCUCCUCUGUGACGUCGGCCGCUUCAAUGUAGCAAAGCUCGGCCUCUGGAAUUCUGAGAACUAAUUUGCUAUUCGGUGACAUAAGAGGGGGGAGCGCGCGCCGCCUGCCCGGGGUCUGGGGCUCCUUCCCUGUCUCGCGCCCAUAAACACCACCACCACCUCCACGAGCUCAGGGCACCAAACGGGGGGCAGGGGCUCUGGGCCCCUGAAGGAAGCCCGCCUGCCCCGAUGUAGGUUAGGCAGCUCGAGCCAAACAAUAAACACUCUUCCAGGGCACGGGGAGAGAGGACACAAGGAGAGAGGGAGAGCUUUCGAUCUAGAAUCUCAGCACAUUGGCAAAGCCGUGUUUGGUCUGUAGUUGGACCUGGGAGCCAUGUGAGGACUGGCGGGGAAGAAACCCUCCCAACCCAGUUUUCCCCAGUGCAUUCAUUUUCCAAAACUUCCCAGGACUUAUUUAUAAAAAGGAAAUGCAUGGAGGCACAGGAUUUUGAGAGCUGGACAGAACGAUGCAUCACAGAUUGCCAGGCAAGUGCUCAUCCCACCUCUGCUUGAAGACCUCCAAGGAGGGACAACGCACUCCCCACCAGGGCAGCCCAUACUAGUUGGGAGCUCCUCCAUCGGGACCAAAGAGAAGAAAUGUCAUCCCUCCACCACACGACAACCUUUGAAAGACUUGAGCAAAAUGAUCAGAUGCCCCCCUUGCCUUUUCUUCUUGGAGCUGAGCAUUCCCAGGCCUGUUGACUGAUUCUCGGAGGACAUGGAGAAGACUCAGAGCCCUUCACCAUUCAGGUCAUCAUUCCCUGGACACCCACCUUAUCGAUGCCCUUCUUAAAUCAAGCCACGCCCAGAACUAAACACAACACUGUAGAUUCUCGCUUCUCAAACUAUAGGCUGCAGCAGUAAAGAGCUAUGUAUAGGGGCAGCUAGAUGGCGCAGUGGAUAGAGCACCGGCCCUGGAUCCAGGAGGACCUGAGUUCAAAUCCAGCCUCAGACACUUAACACUUCAUAGCUGUGUGACCCUGGGCAAGUCACUUAACCCCAACUGCCUCACUAAAAAAAAAAAAAAAAAAGAGCUAUGUAUAGCUAUUUCAUAUACGGAUAUGCCUGGGGUUCUGUAAAAAUUUCUUGGGUGAAAAGGGGUUGAGAGUUGAAAACAUUUAAGUAGCCCUGGUCCAGGAGAGUGGUAAGAAAAUCAGAGAUACUUUGACAAAAGUCUGGUUAAAACCUUGGUAAACAGAACCCUGCUGUCAUUGCAGUUAAGUAGAUCUUAAUAAAUUUGUUCAUACACUUAGGUUUCCCAGAGAUUAACAUGAACAAUUGCCCGUGAUAAAUUUUACUAUAAUGCAAACAACCCUCCCCAUAUAGUUCUGUUUUGUCAAUUCAAAAUUUUUCAUAUGGUAAAAGCAAGACUGCUCUGCAAUCUGACUGAAAGAAUGAAUGAUAAUUAUGAGGACUCUUGAGGAAACAUGCCCCUGACCUCCUGAUAGCUGGAGACAGUAAGAGCUCAGAGGGCAAAAUAAGACAGCUAUUGGUUUGGACAUGGCCAAUGAGGCCCAUGAAGAUUUUUGUUUGCUUGACUAGGUUUUGUUUUGUUUAAUUCUCAUUUGGCAAUGAGGGUGGAUUUUUAAUGAUUAAAAAAACACAUAUGUAUAAGUGCAUGUGUAUAUAUGAAACAUGUACACACAUUUAUUAAAGGGUAUGGAAAGACAUCCGGGAGGAGACACAUCUAGACAGAAGAAAGAAGGCUGGAUUGGGGGUCAGAGGAUGUGCUUUCAAAUCCUAGCUAUUCUUGCAACGUACAUGACCUUGGGCAAGUCACAAUUUCUCAAGUUUAUCAUUUGUAAAUGAGGAUGGCCAUUUAUAGAAAGGUCAGCCCUACUUUGAGUCUCUCAACCCAUGACAGGGCUGUCUUUCACUGAAACAAUGGGUCAGCAUUACAGAAGCCUCAAGUUACAGGUGACUUCAGUGAUCACCCAGCCCAGCCUGGGCUCACCAGUAGGGCUGGCAUCAGAUCCAGCUCUCACUGAGAUAGAGCCAGAGCGGUGGCUCAUUCGACCCUCAUAUUCCUUUAACUCUAGGGAGUGUUAUCUGUCUUCAAGCCCAAAUCUGCCUCCUUGUAAGCUGUGCCCAAUCCUCUGAGGAUGAUCUGACCCCUCCUCCAUGUGACAACCACACUGGUGCUUGAAGGUGGCUACUGUCCAGACCAGAAGUCCCUAACCCCUUCAUCCUAUCUUUGAUCUUCUGCCUUGAUCUACACUGACUCUCCUGAACCAUAGGCUAAACUGGAUGUUUUGUUUUUUUUUUUUAAUGAGCAGUCAAGUCAGGGGAGGGGAGAUGCCUGGUUUUCUAGAGAGUUCAUACAUCCUGGGCUCUAGGAGAGUGACAUCAAGGGAUGAAAUCUCCUCUGCACCCAGCUGAAUGUCAGGACCCUGGGACAAAGGCUUGUUGGCCCCUUGCUAGUUUUGUGCAGACAGCUAGACUGUACCUAAUUGUUCAGAAGGGCAUCAGGACCACCUCCUGCCUCUUCAGAGAUGGCAUGGAAUGCAGCAUGCAAUUCCUGCAUUCCUGUAAUAGAGCAAGUGACCCUAAGGACAUGAGAAAAUCACUUUUCUUUUUCUUUUGUUUGUUUAUUUGUUUCUUUUUUUUUUCAAAGUCUCGAGUUACAUAUCUUGCUCAGUGUUGGAGUUUUCCCCACCUUCAUUUCACUAAGGGUUUCUUCCUUCCUGAGGUGAACUCGUGAGUCUGACCCUGAGAUCAGUAGGAGGAAUGUGUUUGGGGUCCCUGGGGUCCAGGACCAAAGCUCGAGGUUGUCAGUUGUUGAUAAAAUGAUUUGGCUGAUGCCGAGAAAGAGAGGAAACAAAGCGAACCAUUUCACCCAUUCCUUUCAAUGAGUUUAUUUUCCUUAGAACACACAAAUUUGAUAUGGAGACUAGGUCAUGGGAACAGAAACUUGCAGUAGGAAGAGAUCAGAAAAGUCUUCUAGUCUAGCCCCCUCACUUUACAGGGGAGGAAACUGAGUCAGAGAGCUGUGAAGUGCCUUGUCUAAUGUCACCCCAGCAAUUAGUAGCCAAGAGGGGGCGGGCAUCUGGGUCCUAGGCCUCUGUCUUCUGUGCCUAACUUUUCCAGGGCUCUCCUGGGGCCCAGAAGCUUGGACAGCCGGGAGCUACAAAGGGAUGAACCCGGCCACAGAUGGUGUGCCUAGGUGACUUUGGACUCCUUCAUCUAUCAGACCAGAGCCUUGGGCCUCCAAAGGCCCUCCUCACUCUGGAUCCAGGGCCCUGUGAUCCCUAAUUCCCAGGGGUUUGUCUGCACCAUCACCUGAUUAUGGUCACGAUGGUUUCCCCAUAGCAACCGACAGCCACUUUCUGCUGAGGUGUGGAAAGAGUCCAAUCGUGCCCCCUCUGCAUGAUGCUCCCCAAGCCUUGACCUCCAGGUCCAGACCCAGACACCCCUGAUCGACAUACUGUGACCUUUAGAAUCCAUACCCUUGCAGGCUCUUUCAAGCCAAAUCAGCCUCCACAGUGUUCUCCAUAUUGACAUUUUACCUCCAACCUCCACACCUUUGCCCAAGCUGGCCCCCGUCCCUGGCAAGCCCUCCCUCUUCUUACAAUACUUAGCUUCUUUCACAAUGCAGCUCAAGAACCACCUUCAAUCUGAGGCCUUUCCUGAGACUACCUCUCUCCACCCAACUCAUUUUCCAUUGACUCAGUUUACAUUCGCCAUUUACAUGCAUGUGUAAUCCAGCUAGAAACCACAAGCGUGUACAUGCAUCUGUUAUUUUCUCCCAAUGGGAUGUAGGUGCUUUGAGGAUGGAGCAGCUAGGUGGCUAAGUGGAUAGAGUGCCUGGCCUGGGGUCAGGAAGACUCAUCUUUGUGAGUUCCAAUGUGGUCUCAAAUACUUUUAGCUGUGUGACCCUGGGCAAGUCACU